rnacentral:misc_RNA from 1 species
GAUGAAGAACGCAGCGAAAUGCGAUAAGUAGUGUGAAUUGCAGAAUUCAGUGAAUCAUCGAAUCUUUGAACGCACAUUGCGCCCGCCAGUAUUCUGGCGGGCAUGCCUGUUCGAGCGUCAUUUCAACCAUCAAGCCCCGGGCUUGUGUUGGGGACCUGCGGCUGCCGCAGGCCCUGAAAAGCAGUGGCGGGCUCGCUGUCACACCGAGCGUAGUAGCAUACAUCUCGCUCUGGGCGUGCUGCGGGUUCCGGCCGUUAAACCACCUUUUAACCCAAGGUUGACCUCGGAUCAGGUAGGAAGACCCGCUGAACUUAAGCAUAUCAAUAAGCGGAGGA